CCGACGGGUGAGUAACACGUAUGCAAUCCACCUGUAACAGGGGGAGUAACCCGGAGAAAUCCGGACUAAUACCCCAUAAUAUGGGCGCUCCGCAUGGAGAGUCCAUUAAAGAGAGCAAUCUUGGUUACAGACGAGCAUGCGCUCCAUUAGCCAGUUGGCGGGGUAACGGCCCACCAAGGCGACGAUGGAUAGGGGUUCUGAGAGGAAGGUCCCCCACAUUGGAACUGAGACGCGGUCCAA
rnacentral:rRNA from 1 species